UACGUAGGUGGCGAGCGUUGUCCGGAUUUACUGGGUUUAAAGGGUGCGCAGGCGGCGUGUCAAGUCAGCGGUAAAAUGUCGGGGCUCAACCCCGGCCGGCCGUUGAAACUGGCGUGCUCGAGUUGGAGAGAAGUAUGCGGAAUUCGUGGUGUAGCGGUGAAAUGCAUAGAUAUCACGAAGAACCCCGAUUGCGAAGGCAGCAUACCGGCUCCACACUGACGCUGAGGCACGAAAGCGUGGGUAUCGAACAGG
rnacentral:rRNA from 1 species